UGGCCCAUCGGGGCCUCGGAUACCUGCUUAUAUUUUU
rnacentral:ncRNA from 1 species